rnacentral:RNase_P_RNA from 1 species
AGGAGCAGCUGGGUGGCUACCCUGAAAUUUCAGGGAGGAAAGUCCGGGCUCCAGCAGACAUGGUGGCUCCUAACAGGAGCAGGUCGCAAGACCUGGAAAGUGCCACAGAAAUAAUACCGUUCGGGCAAAACCCGAAUAAGGGUGAAAUGGCGAGGUAAGAGCUCACCGCACCAGCAGUAAUGCUGGUGGCAAAGGCAAACCCCACCAGGAGAAAAACCAAGCAGGGUCUGGUCGUCUGCCCAUAAAGACCCGGGUAGGUUGCUUGAGUCAGGAAGUGAUUCCUGACCCAGAUGAAUUGCCACAUCCAACAGAACCCGGCUUACACGCUGCUCCUGAUA